rnacentral:rRNA from 1 species
GACGAACGCUGGCGGCGUGCUUAACACAUGCAAGUCGAACGGAAAGGCCCUGCUUUUGUGGGGUGCUCGAGUGGCGAACGGGUGAGUAACACGUGAGUAACCUGCCCUUGACUUUGGGAUAACUUCAGGAAACUGGGGCUAAUACCGGAUAGGAGCUCCUGCUGCAUGGGGGGGGUUGGAAAGUUUCGGCGGUUGGGGAUGGACUCGCGGCUUAUCAGCUUGUUGGUGGGGUAGUGGCUUACCAAGGCUUUGACGGGUAGCCGGCCUGAGAGGGUGACCGGCCACAUUGGGACUGAGAUACGGCCCAGACUCCUACGGGAGGCAGCAGUGGGGAAUAUUGCACAAUGGGCGGAAGCCUGAUGCAGCAACGCCGCGUGCGGGAUGACGGCCUUCGGGUUGUAACCCGCUUUCGCCUGUGACGAAGCGUGAGUGACGGUAAUGGGUAAAGAAGCACCGGCUAACUACGUG